rnacentral:lncRNA from 1 species
CUCCUCCUAAUAUGGAUUUCUGACAAAACAUGUCACCAUCCUGGUGUCAUUUCCCAAAUAUUCUACCAAUUAAAAAGCACCAUCUCAGAAAACUAUUCUCAAAACUCACCUCCUGCAAGAGUCCUCUCCUACAUUUUCACUUAGACCCUAUCCUACUACCUUUGUCAAUAAGGCUCCUUACUGGGUGUCUUUAUUUUUAUAAAGACAAGCUGAAAAUCAACCCAUCAAUCAAAAAGAAAGUAGUCAGUAGUGGGGUGAAAGAGAUCAGAUUUGAGAGAGGUGGGCUCCAUUGAGAGC